GUGCCGGGAAAAGAAUGCAGAAAGGAGAUUUUUUUUGGCCACAGAGUUUUUGCUAAAAGCAGCUAGGAAGCCCCACGGCUCCAGUGUGCGUGAACUCCUGGUAAUUUCCUUGGGGAAUCCCGCCUCAGAGAACCUCUACCCCGAGAAUUAGGAGGAAGCUGAGCUAGGCUGACUUGAGGAAAGAGAGCUGGAGGAGCGGGGUUCAACAUUUUUCAAAAUAAAAAGUUGGUAGAAUAAUAGGAAGCCAUGAGGACCAAGAAGCUCACAUUUCCAAGGCUUUCUAAGUUUCACCUUGAAGCAAGAUACAUCAUAAAGCAUUGUCUAGGUACAACUUGCACUUUCCUGUCCAAGCCUCAGACCCUGUUCUUCAUCUGGGCCCACAGAGCAACAGCUUCCACUUUUGUGGCCAAAGAAAAAUGCUAACCAGCUUGUAAUUGCUGUAAGGAGAUGGAGUUUCACUUACAUCCAGGCUGGAAUGCAGUGGCGU
rnacentral:lncRNA from 1 species